UUGCCUACGGGCGGCAGCAGUAAGGAAUAUUGCGCAAUGGGCGAAAGCCUGACGCAGCGACGCCGCGUGGGGGAUGAAGGUCUUCGGAUUGUAAACCCCUUUCGGGAGGGAAGAUGGAGCGAGCAAUCGUUCGGACGGUACCUCCAGAAGCAGCCACGGCCAACUUCGUGCCAGCAGCCGCGGUAAUACGAAGGGGGCAAGCGUUGUUCGGAUUCACUGGGCGUACAGGGGGUGUAGGCGGUUGGGUAAGCCUUAUGUGAAAGCUUCGGGCCCAACCCGGAAAGCGCAGAGGGUACUGCCAGGCUAGAGGGUGGGAGAGGAGCGCGGAAUUCCCGGUGUAGCGGUGAAAUGCGUAGAGAUCGGGAGGAAGGCCGGUGGCGAAGGCGGCGCUCUGGAACAUACCUGACGCUGAGACACGAAAGCGUGGGGAGCAAACAGGAUUAGAUACCCUAGUAGUCA
rnacentral:rRNA from 1 species